UGGUAUUUGUUGAGCGUUUACG
rnacentral:miRNA from 1 species